rnacentral:rRNA from 1 species
CUUCCGUAGGGUAACCUGCGGAAGGAUCAUUACCGAGUGCGGGCCCUCUGGGUCCAACCUCCCAUCCGUGUCUAUCUGUACCCUGUUGCUUCGGCGUGGCCACGGCCCGCCGGAGACUAACAUUUGAACGCUGUCUGAAGUUUGCAGUCUGAGUUUUUAGUUAAACAAUCGUUAAAACUUUCAACAACGGAUCUCUUGGUUCCGGCAUCGAUGAAGAACGCAGCGAAAUGCGAUAAUUAAUGUGAAUUGCAGAAUUCAGUGAAUCAUCGAGUCUUUGAACGCACAUUGCGCCCCCUGGUAUUCCGGGGGGCAUGCCUGUCCGAGCGUCAUUGCUGCCCUCAAGCACGGCUUGUGUGUUGGGCUUCCGUCCCUGGCAACGGGGACGGGCCCAAAAGGCAGUGGCGGCACCAUGUCUGGUCCUCGAGCGUAUGGGGCUUUGUCACCCGCUCCCGUAGGUCCAGCUGGCAGCUAGCCUCGCAACCAAUCUUUUUAACCAGGUUGACCUCGGAUCAGGUAGGGAUACCCGCUGAACUUAAGCAUAUCAAUAAGCGGAGGAA